rnacentral:lncRNA from 10 species
CAGCGUUGUUAGGAGGGGGAGACACCAGAGCACCAACUUCUCUCACUUAAACCUUAUGACAACCUUAAGAAGUAGGCAGCAUGAUCCCCUUCUUGGAAAUGCAGAAAGAGAGAAUGGGGGAGAUUGAGAGGCUUGCAGAAUGUGACAUCAUUAGGGAGAACAGUGGUUGAGGUCCAGCAGCUCCUGCAGAUGGGUGGUGGUGGAAGGAGGAGAGAAUGGGCCACAGGCAGGCCAAGGGCAAGCUUAGCAGCACUCAACAUCCUCCAUGAACUCAACAGAAGUCAAGAAUGCAGGCAGCUCAUGAUGAAGACCUGCAGCGGCCCAGGUUUACCAAGCUCAUUCACAAUUGCAGUUGGAGAAUUCGUCUUUGGUCAUUUUCUACUUUGGAAAUACGGUA